UACGGAGGAUCCAAGCGUUAUCCGGAAUCAUUGGGUUUAAAGGGUCCGUAGGCGGUUUUGUAAGUCCGUGGUGAAAGCCCAUCGCUCAACGGUGGAACGGCCAUUGAUACUGCAAGACUUGAAUUAUUAGGAAGUAACUAGAAUAUGUAGUGUAGCGGUGAAAUGCUUAGAGAUUACAUGGAAUACCAAUUGCGAAGGCAGGUUACUGCUAAUUGAUUGACGCUGAUGGACGAAAGCGUGGGGAGCGAACAGG
rnacentral:rRNA from 1 species